AAAUACUCCUGACUGACCGAUAGUGAACCAGUACCGUGAGGGAAAGGCGAAAAGAACCCCGGCGAGGGGAGUGAAAAAGAACCUGAAACCGUGUACGUACAAGCAGUGGGAGCACGCUUAGGCGUGUGACUGCGUACCUUUUGUAUAAUGGGUCAGCGACUUAUAUUCUGUAGCAAGGUUAACCGAAUAGGGGAGCCGAAGGGAAACCGAGUCUUAACUGGGCGUUAAGUUGCAGGGUAUAGACCCGAAACCCGGUGAUCUAGCCAUGGGCAGGUUGAAGGUUGGGUAACACUAACUGGAGGACCGAACCGACUAAUGUUGAAAAAUUAGCGGAUGACUUGUGGCUGGGGGUGAAAGGCCAAUCAAACCGGGAGAUAGCUGGUUCUCCCCGAAAGCUAUUUAGGUAGCGCCUCGUGAAUUCAUCUCCGGGGGUAGAGCACUGUUUCGGCAAGGGGGUCAUCCCGACUUACCAACCCGAUGCAAACUGCGAAUACCGGAGAAUGUUAUCACGGGAGACACACGGCGGGUGCUAACGUCCGUCGUGAAGAGGGAAACAACCCAGACCGCCAGCUAAGGUCCCAAAGUCAUGGUUAAGUGGGAAACGAUGUGGGAAGGCCCAGACAGCCAGGAUGUUGGCUUAGAAGCAGCCAUCAUUUAAAGAAAGCGUAAUAGCUCACUGGUCGAGUCGGCCUGCGCGGAAGAUGUAACGGGGCUAAACCAUGCACCGAAGCUGCGGCAGCGACGCUGAUGCGUUGUUGGGUAGGGGAGCGUUCUGUAAGCCUGCGAAGGUGUGCUGUGAGGCAUGCUGGAGGUAUCAGAAGUGCGAAUGCUGACAUAAGUAACGAUAAAGCGGGUGAAAAGCCCGCUCGCCGGAAGACCAAGGGUUCCUGUCCAACGUUAAUCGGGGCAGGGUGAGUCGACCCCUAAGGCGAGGCCGAAAGGCGUAGUCGAUGGGAAACAGGUUAAUAUUCCUGUACUUGGUGUUACUGCGAAGGGGGGACGGAGAAGGCUAUGUUGGCCGGGCGACGGUUGUCCCGGUUUAAGCGUGUAGGCUGGUUUUCCAGGCAAAUCCGGAAAAUCAAGGCUGAGGCGUGAUGACGAGGCACU
rnacentral:rRNA from 1 species